rnacentral:rRNA from 1 species
AGAGUUUGAUCAUGGCUCAGAACGAACGCUGGCGGCGUGCCUAACACAUGCAAGUCGAACGGAGUUGAGGGGCUUGCUCCCCAAUUUAGUGGCGCACGGGUGAGUAACGCGUAGAUAAUCUGCCUGACGAUCCGGGAUAACACUUCGAAAGGGGUGCUAAUACCGGAUAAGCCCACGGGGACUUUGGUCUUUGCGGGAAAAGGGGGGGACCUUUUGGCCUUCUGUCGUCAGAUGAGUCUGCGUACCAUUAGCUAGUUGGUAGGGUAAAGGCCUACCAAGGCUACGAUGGUUAGCUGGUCUGAGAGGAUGAUCAGCCACACUGGAACUGAGACACGGUCCAGACUCCUACGGGAGGCAGCAGUGGGGAAUUUUGCGCAAUGGGCGAAAGCCUGACGCAGCAACGCCGCGUGAGUGAUGAAGGCUUUCGGGUCGUAAAGCUCUGUCGAGGGGAAAGAAGUGUAUUGUGGUUAAUACCCAUGAUACUUGACGGUACCCCUAAAGGAAGCACCGGCUAACUCCGUGCCAGCAGCCGCGGUAAUACGGGGGGUGCAAGCGUUAAUCGGAAUUACUGGGCGUAAAGCGUGCGUAGGCGGCCCGUUAAGUCAGAUGUGAAAGCCCCGGGCUCAACCUGGGAACUGCAUUUGAAACUGGCGGGCUAGAGUUAGGUAGAGGGGAGUGGAAUUUCAGGUGUAGCGGUGAAAUGCGUAGAGAUCUGAAGGAACACCAGUGGCGAAGGCGACUCCCUGGACCCAAACUGACGCUGAGGUACGAAAGCGUGGGUAGCAAACAGGAUUAGAUACCCUGGUAGUCC